UCUGUCCUUUGGCCCUCACCAGGGAAGAAAUGACCUGUCAUUUCAAUCUUUAACAGGAAAAUAUAUACCUAGCCUGAAGUUUGUGAAAAGUGUUUUUUUAGUGGGCAAGAGUGAUGGCUUAUUAUAAUUAAUUCUUUCCUCAAGGCCAUACCUCUAAAAAUAAGAGACAAAGAGUAUUAAGGGGAAUGUAGUUACAAUCAGAGGAGGAUAUGCAUAUUUGGUAGCACCUCUUUACUUAACAUACCUGCUUCUUUCACAGUUCCUGACUUCUCCACUAGUCAAAGCAGAGGGCUCAUUGUUUGCAGGAUCCCGAUGAAGAAUUCAUUAGCAUUCCAUCAUUUCACGACCUGGAAUAAGGCUUGUGGCAGAGCAAGGGCAAGGACAUUCAUCUGCUGUUCUCUGGUAGGCCACGUGACCACAGGAAGACUUGGCAUCUUCUCUCUCCACCACCACUAUCAAUAAAUGUGUUUGGCA
rnacentral:lncRNA from 12 species